AGGCUCACCAAAUGGCACUCGAUCCGUAACUGGUCUGAGAGGAGUGAACAGUACGGCUCGAACUGACUGACACCGUCAGACUCCUACGGGAGGCAGCAGUGGGGAAUAUUGGACAAUGGCGUAAAGCCUGAUCCAGCCAUGCCGCGUGAUGUGACCAAGGUCUUCGGAUUGUAAAGCACUUUAAGUCGGUAGGAAGAGCAGUAAGUUAAUACCUUGCUGUCUUGACGUUACCAACACAAGUAAGCCACCGGCUAACUACGUGCCAGCAGCCGCGGUAAUACCAAGGGUGGCAAGCGUUAAUCGGAAUUACUGGCCGUAAAGCGCGCGUAAGUGGUUCGUUAAGUCGGAUGUGAAAGCCCCGGGCUCAACCUGGGAACGGUCAUCCAAAACUGGCGAGCUAGAGUACAGCAGAGGAUAGUGGAAUUUCAUGUGUAGCGCUGAAAUGCGUAGAUAUAUGAAGGAACACCAGUGGCAAAGGCGACCACCUGGGCUAAUACUGACACUGAGGUGCGAAAGCGUGAGGAGCAAACAGGAUUAGAUACCCUGGUAGUCCACGCCGUAAACGAUGUCGACUACCCGAUGGGAUCCUUGAGAUCUUAGUGGCGCACCUAACGCCAUUAAGUCGACCGCCUGGGGAGUACGGCCGCAAGGUUAAAAAUCAAAUGAAUUGACCGGAGCCCGCACAAGCGGUGCAGCAUGUGGUUUAAUUCUGAAGCAACGCGAAGAACCUUACCAGGCCUUGACAUGCAUAGACACUUUCCAGAGAUGGAGUGGUGCCUUCGGGAACUAUCACACCAGGUGCUGCAUGCCUGUCGUCACGUCGUGUCGUGACAUGCUGGGUGAAGAUCCCGUAACGAGCGCAACCCAUCGUCCUUAGCUACCAGCCACGUUAAGGCGGCCACUCUAAGGAGACCUGCCAGGGACCAAACCGGAGGCAAGGUGGAGAGGACGUCAAUUCAUCAUGCCACCUUAACGCCUUGGCCUUACACACGGUGCUACAAUGGUAGAUACAAAGGGCUCACCAAGCCGCGAGGUGGAGCCUAAUGCCCAUAAAACCCAACUCCUAGUAUCGGAUCCCAUUUUG
rnacentral:rRNA from 2 species